rnacentral:rRNA from 1 species
GACGAACGCUGGCGGCGCGCUUAACACAUGCAAGUCGAACGGAAAGGCCUGCUUUCCCUUGUGGAUUGCGGGUACUCGAGUGGCGCACGGGUGAGUAACACGUGAGUGAUCUGCCCCCAACUUGGGUAUAAGCCUGGGAAACUGGGUCUAAUUCCCGAUAGGACUGCAGGGUGGUGCCUGUGGUGGAAAACGAUUUUCUAGUGGUUGGGGAUGAGCUCGCGGCCUAUCAGCUUGUUGGUGGGGUAAUGGCCUACCAAGGCGGCGACGGGUAGCCGGCCUGAGAGGGUGGACGGGCACAGUGGGAAUGAGAUACGGCCCAGACUCCUACGGGAGGAAGAAGUGGGGAAGAGUGGACAAUGGGGGGAAGCCUGAGGCAGCGACGCCGCGUGGGGGAUGACGGGCUUCGGGUUGUAAACUCCUUUCGACCGCGAGGAAGCCACCUGGUUGGAAGGGUGGUGACGGUAGUGGUAGAAGAAGCACCGGCUAACUACGUG